GGGGCAAUUUUUUUUGUUUUUGAUUUAUUGGAUUAGGAAUUUGAAAGUCGUAAACAUAUCUAAAUUGAUUAUCCAAUUCUAAUAGUUUAGUUAAUUAAUGUUUGAUAUUUUUUGAGAGUUGAGAUUAUAUUCAAUUUUGUAAUAACAUCAUUAAACAAAUAUUCAAAUUCAACUCUCCAACUAAAACUAACUUGUGUUCUUG
rnacentral:misc_RNA from 1 species